UAGGGAAUCUUCUGCAAUGGACGAAAGUCUGACCGAGCAACGCCGCGUGAGUGAAGAAGGUUUUCGGAUCGUAAAACUCUGUUGUUAGAGAAGAACAAGGACGUUAGUAACUGAACGUCCCCUGACGGUAUCUAACCAGAAAGCCACGGCUAACUACGUGCCAGCAGCCGCGGUAAUACGUAGGUGGCAAGCGUUGUCCGGAUUUAUUGGGCGUAAAGCGAGCGCAGGCGGUUUCUUAAGUCUGAUGUGAAAGCCCCCGGCUCAACCGGGGAGGGUGAUUGGAAACUGGGAGACUUGAGUGCAGGAGAGGAGAGUUGAAUUCCAUGUGUAGCGGUGAAAUGCGUAGAUAUAUGGAGGAACACCAGUGGCGAAGGCGGCUCUCUGGUCUGUAACUGACGCUGAGGCUCGAAAGCGUGGGGAGCAAACAGG
rnacentral:rRNA from 1 species